CCUCCCUCUUGUUAGGGACGGCCCAGAGCUUUUCUUGGCAGCUCCAGCCCAGUGAGUCUGAUGUGGGCUCAGAGGAGCCUGACUCACUGGGGCCAGAGGGUCAGGCCGGGUGGACGGGAGUCAGGAGACACAGCUUCUCUGGGCCCUCUGCAGACUGUCUGGGGUUAGAUGGCUGUUGGCCAGCAUGCUGGGGGGCUGCAUCUUUCUAGGCUCUUCUGCAGGGCCAAGCCUGGAGCCUGCAGCUGGGAAUUUAACCAGGGCCCUCCGCUGGAAGUCUCAAGACUCUACGUGGGGCAGAGGGGAGACUGCUGCCACAUCUUAAGGACACUCAAGCAGCUUUAGGAAUUUCUCAUGGAGGGGAACUGAGAUCUCUUGCCAAGAACCAGCAUCAGCUCACCAGCUAAGUCACCUUGAGAGUGGGUCCUCCAGCCCUGGCCAAGCCUUCAGAUGAGUCCUGCUGACAUCCUGACUGCUGUCUUAUUAGAGACCUUAAGUCAGAGUGACACAGUUGUGCUGCUCCUGGAUUCCUGGAUAAGACAUUCUGAGAAUAAUAAAAGUUUAUUGUUGUUUUAA